rnacentral:rRNA from 1 species
UAUAUGCUACAAGUAAAAGAUUAAGCCAUGCAUGCUCGCACAACUCGAUUAUGAGUGAAGCUGCGCACGGCUCAUUAGCUACGGUUUCGUACCUUUUUCGGAUAUCCCAAGUGGGAUAACUGCGGAAAUACUGGAGCUAAUACCUGCACUUAAAACCCGACGUAAGUAGGGUUGCAAUUAUUAGGCCAAACCAAUCGUCCUCGUGACGUAUUGUGGCGACUCCAAAUAGCCCAGUCUAUCGUCGGUUCUAUCCGACGAAGGCCGAAAAGGGUUUCUGCCCUAUCAACUAGACGGUAGCCCAGUAGACUACCGUGGUUGUCACGGGUACCGGAGAAUUGGGGUUUGACUCCGGAGAGGGAGCCUUAGAAACGGCUACCACAUCCAAGGAAGGCAGCAGGCGCGAAACUUAUCCACUGUCAAAAAUGAGAUAGUGACUAAAAAUAUAAAAUCCCUCCCACAUGGGAGGGAUAUUUAAAUGAGUAGAGGUUAAAAAGCUCUUCGAGAAACUAAGAGAGGGC